rnacentral:rRNA from 1 species
AGGGUUCGAUCAUGGCUCAGGAUGAACGCUGGCGGCGUGCCUAAUACAUGCAAGUCGAGCGAACCACUUCGGUGGUGAGCGGCGAACGGGUGAGUAACACGUAGGUUAUCUGCCCAUCAGACGGGGACAACGAUUGGAAACGAUCGCUAAUACCGGAUAGGACGAAAGUUUAAAGGUGCUUCGGCACCACUGAUGGAUGAGCCUGCGGCGCAUUAGCUAGUUGGUAGGGUAAAGGCCUACCAAGGCGACGAUGCGUAGCCGACCUGAGAGGGUGAACGGCCACACUGGGACUGAGACACGGCCCAG